CCAAGCACACAAAACCUCAUAACAGUUUGAAAUCAAUUAACUAAAUGCAACCAAUUAUAGUCAAGAGAAAAAAGCUUGCUACAACAUUUCUGCUACCUAAAGCAUAGAACCAACGUCAGAACUCCCAUGUCAGACUAGAGUUAUACAAGAAAAUAUACAGCCAACAUGUCCACACAACAACUGGAAAAUCAGCGUCAAAAGAAUCUAGAACAAAUCCAAUUUAUUUCAACAAUGUUUGAAAGUCAAUCAAGCUAAAACUGUUAAGA
rnacentral:lncRNA from 1 species